ACAGGUCAGUGUAAAUUAGUGUUUAGAGUGCUGAAAUGGCUGCAUAUCUUUCUACGAAGUGGGGAGAGAUCAUCAGAUUUGCUAUCAAUAUUUUUUCUGUAGAUGAAGAAUAGUGCAAAUGAAUCUUAGUAAUUGAAGGGGAUGUGAUCAUUGUCAUUAAACUAUUUUGGCCGUUUUAUUUUCUUGAACUUUUGACAUGUGAAAGAUUUAGAGUUGUUUAUCUAUGUUUAGGACCUUCAUGCACCCGAGAGUUUAGCGAGAAAACUCAAGGACACCUGGUUUUCUUUAUUGUGGCUAGUUUUCCUUGUUACUGAUUAUGAUGUAUUGUGGAUUUGUUAUGCUAAAAUUGGGAUGAUGAUGCUGCCUCUUCUUCGAAUUUGUUUUCUACUGCUCAAAAUUUAAUUCAAUACAUAAUUUGGAUUUCCUUCUUAUAGAGAUAACGAUUACAAUCCUUCUGUUUUGUGCAAAAUGGAGAAUUCAUGAAACUUGUGUUUGAUUGGACUAUUUUUAACUUGAAGUUUACUGCUGCCAAUAUAUACAAGAGUGAAUUUUUAAGAACAUGCUGAUUUGGAUAGAAGUAUUUUGGGGUAGAAUGGAGAAUUAGUAUGUGGUAAUUGGUUUCGGUUCAAAUUUGUCAUAGGUACUGAAGAACAUGGGCCCUAUUGUGCUUUUAGAAAGAAAAGUCUAUUGUAUUUUCUAUGUUAUUUAUUGUCAUAACUAAUUAUGCACAGCUUAUAAAUUCUCUUUCUCUGAAUAAUGAAUGUUGAAUUUAGCUAUAAACUAUGAGUUUAACUAGGUUUAUCUUUUAACAGAAGGAUUUAUAAAUUUAAAG
rnacentral:misc_RNA from 1 species